rnacentral:ncRNA from 1 species
UUGUUGCACUAGGGGCGCCGAUAUUGGCUGAGAAGAACUCUUUAAACCUGAACCAGAUUAUACUGGUGCAAGAAAGUGCGAUAUUAAUGAU